GGUGUUGGUUGGUGUUGGUGUUGCUAAAGUUUAUGGAUCGGAACAUUUAUCUUGGCAGAAGAUUGUACACAUAAUACAAAAUUGCAUGUAAAUAUUGGACCUGGAUUGCGGGUUAUUGAAGAGAAUGCCUUCGGUCAAAAAUCUCUAUUUGAUAUUGUACAAUUUGUUGCAAACGUUUGGCUGGACAUAUUUUGUGUACAAAUCAACUGAACAUUUUCAUUUAAAAACUGAUAAUAGUUCAUUGGAUUUAUGGCACUCAGUAGAGCAUUCUUUGAAAGUUUUUCAAACUGUCGCACUGCUUGAGAUUGGCCAUGCAAUAUUCGGCAUUGUCAAGUCAAAUGUUCCGAUAACAACAUUUCAAGUAUUAGCUCGCUUACUGAACCUUUGGGGAAUCCUUAACGUAAGUCCGACAACACAAAAAUCCGUUGGACUUCCAUUGAUUAUAAUCGCUUGGGGAACCACGGAAAUAGUUCGCUACGGACACUAUACCACUUCUCUGUUGAAAUUUCCUGCUAUUUUACAAUGGUUGAGAUAUUCCAUGUUCAUCGUUCUCUAUCCAUUAGGACUGAUUGGAGAACUCAUUGACAUCUAUUAUACUGUCCAAUAUGUUAAGGGGAAAAACAUAUGGGGUCACAUACUUCCAGGCUGGAUGGAUUUUGGAGUGACAUAUUUUCAUGUCAUAGUGGCGUUAACUUGUAUUUUAGUGCCACUUACUCCGUUUUUAUACUUUCAUAUGUUGAAACAGAGAAGAAAAAUUUUGGGUGGCAAGAAACAAACAAAAGUUAAAACCAAAUAAAUCGAA